GACGAACGCUGGCGGCGUGCCUAAUACAUGCAAGUUGAGCGAUGAAGAUUGGUGCUUGCCCCAAUUUGAAGAGCAGCGAACGGGUGAGUAACGCGUGGGGAAUCUGCCUUUGAGCGGGGGACAACAUUUGGAAACGAAUGCUAAUACCGCAUAAUAACUUUAAACAUAAGUUUUAAGUUUGAAAGAUGCAAUUGCAUCACUCAAAGAUGAUCCCGCGUUGUAUUAGCUAGUUGGUGAGGUAAAGGCUCACCAAGGCGAUGAUACAUAGCCGACCUGAGAGGGGGAUCGGCCACAUUGGGACUGAGACACGGCCCAAACUCCUACGGGAGGCAGCAGUAGGGAAUCUUCGGCAAUGGACGAAAGUCUGACCGAGCAACGCCGCGUGAGGGAAGAAGGGUGUCGGAUCGUAAAACUCUGUUGGUAGAGAAGAACGUUGGUGAGAGUGGAAAGCUCAUCAAGUGACGGUAACUACACAGAAAGGGACGGCUAACUACGUG
rnacentral:rRNA from 1 species